ensembl:snRNA U6 U6 spliceosomal RNA
GUGCUCAAUUUCAGCAUCAUAUACACUAAAGUUGGAACAAUAUAGAGAUUAGCAUGGCGCCUCUGCAAAAAUGACAUGCAAAUUUGCGAAGCAUUCCAUAUUUUC